AGCUGUUCCCCUCUGGAGGUUUUGACCUUCAAACUUAUCAGGCCGCGGGAAAUAUCCAGCGGCCUUUUUUUUGCCGAUG
rnacentral:sRNA from 1 species